GUACAUAUGAUACACCACGAAGUCGUAUUAUCUUUAUGGAACAAAGUCUGUAUCCUUCUCAACACGCACAACAACGGAGUUACGAGAAUUGUGAGAUGAACUUUGGGAGCUGCGCUCUAAGCACUACAAACAAGUGUGCACCUUUUCUGCGGUACUGCUGGCGUGCAACUGACUGGAGCGAGCUGCGAGCUGGAAAAGGGAUUCCGUUCUCCAACCAACAACAAAGCAAUCCAACUACUCUCACCAUUUCGAAACCUAGUCGUCGUCUCUCUGCCCCAACAGUGCAUGUAUUCUGCUGCCAGUUGCAUGUAGGGUUGGUAAAUGGUACACUGUGAGCGUCUCUCUCGGAAGAAUUUUGACGACUCUUCUACACAAUACAUACAGUUCUCUAGUAGGAGAGAGGAAGUUUGCGUUUACUUGGUCCACGGGGGGAUUACGUGGUUUCAUAUGUACACAGUACUCUCUCUGCACCCAUUUUCCCUCUCUCUCUCUCUACUCUUCUGCAUUUCAAAGAAUGACAGCAGCACCCGAUUUCCACUCGCACAAACUUAACUUGGUAUAUUUACCGACGAUCUUUACCCACUCAUUCAUUUUGAGUUUUGUGAUUGUUGUGCCGGAUGGCCAUAAAAAGUGGAUGAUGGUGGAAUAUUAUGGCGAGGAGAUGAUAUAAGAAGGUGCCUCUGAUUGCAGAAGGGGCACAUAUUUUUUACGCAUGCAUGCGAUGGAGGACAUGAGCUGAAGUAUCCACACCGUUCUUUAAAACAACAUCACAAUUUGAAGGAUACGCAGAACGAGAAAGAGUUUCCAAACGAAGCUCUUCUUCAACUUUUAGUUAAAUAUACAAAAGUCACAUUUCAUUUCUUGGACGACCAACAAUCCACAAACUCACCUGCGUAUAUGUACAGAUACGCUGAUACAGGACCUAUUAUACGGUCAUGUGGGAGUGAUGAGGAGGAAUGUGUUGUAGAUGAAGAUCCACCAACCAACUCGAACUCCCGUCUUGUUCUUGUUUGUGAGGAAGACAGACAACCAGUUUUGUCGGAUCUUGCUCGUCCAAGAAGAGAGAAGAAAUUAUUAAAUCUUUUGCUUUUGGGGGAGCUUAACAACACCCCGAGUUCAAAUUGUAAUCUUUGGUUUGAUGCCAUCCAUGCCUUUGUUUUCUUCUCUACAUAGAUAUUUGGCCGAGGCAGUGGCUUUGCGUUCACGGCAAAGUGUCUGCUUACAUAUUACUCGUAGUAGUAGAACUAUACACUUUUAUUCUUAGAGUGGCUUGAAUUAUGUAGGGUUUCUAUAACCCUUGACUUUUACCAGAAAUUCUUGAGCUCCCAACCGUUUUCCUCACUCUCAAAUGAGAGCUGCUCAACAUGAGAGCAAGGAAACAAAUAUGUAUUAAAUCUCAAGUAGUAAUCCCUUAGUUGGGGUACAAGAUGGUAUAUGGUCAUGAACAAAGAAAGACUUUGAUGAUGGUUACACGAAGGAGCCGCUGCAUGGGGAUAUUCUACGAAAUAAAUAAGCAAUAGAUUUCCAAUCUGGAAACCCAUCUCACCUAAAUUGUAAUAAAUUCGUGGGAUUGUCCAUUAUCUUGAAUCAUUGCUCGUUACAUACAUACUAAAUAUCAAGGUGUAUGUAUAUAAAUAUACUAAGCUGAAAAUAUACAAGAACACAACUUAUAUGCAAAGUCUGUUUUUUGAGACACACGAUAACAAAAUAUCGUAUUAUCCACUAAUAAGUGUCACCCAUAAAGAGGUAUUUAUUGUAGAGAAAAUUGAGAUUUAGAUUGAAUGAUCAAAACUGCUGGUCUUUGGUCGCUUGUUUGGUAAUAGUAAUCCGUCGUCCAUCAACUCCCAUAAAUGAGAAUGAUGCCAGGUGUAACCGAGCAAGUACGUUGAAAAUAAGUCAUUAUCCUACUUAUUAUUACAAUUAGGGGCUGGAAACCGUAAUACGACCAAGCCAACUGCUUAAUAAAAAUGUAGUAUGUGUGCAUGCAUCCAGAUGCGGGUAAGUUUGGUUGAUAACAUGAGCACAGAACUCUUGGGCCCCUAUACACACACGUAUGUACAUUUCCCCUCAUGUCUCAUUUUAUUGUGUUGAUCGACUUUUGGAGUAGAAAAGCAAAGUGCAGUGAAGUAAACGGCUGGGUAAAUUUUAUGAUGUAUGAAAAAAGUUAGAUAAUAACAUAAUCAAUGGUAAUUUGCUGUACUUGAGGGAAAGGUGCAUAUAGUGGACCUAUUAUUCACAUAGGUACGUGUACCCAUGUAGUUGAUAUAUUGCGACGACUGCAUGCUGAACAUCAUGCAUUACCUGCAGUACAUACAAUGGGCGGAUGGAGAGACUUUUUGCCCUCGUAACAUCCCUUGAAAACCUCCACGCACUUCACCAGCCAGCGGCGAAUGUCCAACCUUGUUCUCCCGUUGUUGCCUUAAAUUUACUUUUUUGGGCAACUUCUCACUUUUCAACCUAAAUCAACCCUCCACCACCUCAAAAAGUGAUGGAUUGGACAUGAGGGCAGCAAUUAUAUUUCUUCAACUGCACACCCAUCAUCAUCACCAUCCGUUUGGUCAAAAUAUGAUGAGUCAAUUUCAUUUUGAUCCAGUGGAGAAUCGUAAAAGAAGGAACUAAAAUUUUAUACUCCGUGUUUUAGAAAUAUUCUUUGACUGACCUGAAAUCAAAAUUAGAAUCUCAAAAUGUGUCGAAAUCAAAAUAUAAUAACUUUUAGUUCAAGGUUUUCUGACUUUUAUUUAAAUGUUAUGUUGGUACGAUGAAAAAAAAAUAAAUGAGAAAGUAAAGUAAAUAUGUAAAUA